rnacentral:rRNA from 1 species
UACGAAGGGGGCUAGCGUUGCUCGGAAUGACUGGGCGUAAAGGGCGCGUAGGCGGAUUGAUUAGUUAGGCGUGAAAUUCCUGGGCUUAACCUGGGGGCUGCGCUUAAUACAGUCAGUCUAGAGUGUGGAAGAGGGUCGUGGAAUUCCCAGUGUAGAGGUGAAAUUCGUAGAUAUUGGGAAGAACACCGGUGGCGAAGGCGGCGACCUGGUCCAUUACUG